AGAGUUUGAUCAUGGCUCAGGAUGAACGCUAGCGGGAGGCUAACACAUGCAAGCCGAGCGGUAUUGUUUCUUCGGAAAUGAGAGAGCGGCGUACGGGUGCGGAACACGUGUGCAACCUACCUUUAUCUGGAGGAUAGCCUUUCGAAAGGAAGAUUAAUACUCCAUAAUAUAUUGAUUGGCAUCAGUUGAUAUUGAAAGCUCCGGCGGAUAAAGAUGGGCACGCGCAAGAUUAGCUAGUUGGUGAGGUAACGGCUCACCAAGGCGAUGAUCUUUAGGGGCCUGAGAGGGUGAUCCCCACACUGGUACUGAGACACGGACCAGACUCCUACGGGAGGCAGCAGUGAGGAAUAUUGGUCAAUGGGUGCAAGCCUGAACCAGCCAUCCCGCGUGAAGGACGACUGCCUAUGGGUUGUAAACUUCUUUUGUAUAGGGAUAAACCUACUCUCGUGAGAGUAGCUGAAGGUACUAUACGAAUAAGCACCGGCUAACUCCGUG
rnacentral:rRNA from 1 species